rnacentral:lncRNA from 1 species
GAGUUCUUGGUCCGGUCACAUUGAAGGGAGUAAACUCAGGAACAUGGGACAUGUCGAAAUGGAAAUGGUCCUAUAAGGUCCUCCACUGAAAUUCAAAACCACUUAACUUUAAGUUUCCUAGUAACAACAAAACAAUCAUAAUAAUGGAUUUAAAUUUGAUUUGAACAGAUUGGUGUAAAGGGUGAGGCUUUGAGUCUUCAUACCAACACAGAGAGUUCCGGUGUGAGAUGGACUCAAGGAUCAUUUGUGGCGAAGAAGCAACCAUUAACCUGGUACAAGGUAAGAAAAAACACAAGGAUUAAACUAAUGUCUAUACACAAACUUAGACACAAUGAAUAAACUGAAAAAAAACAUUCUUCUAUAUGUUGCAGUCUACGUUUGCUACACCAGCAGGAAAUGAACCAUUGGCUUUAGACAUGAACACAAUGGGAAAAGGUCAAGUUUGGAUAAACGGUAGAAAUAUUGGACGUCAUUGGCCUGCAUAUAAAGCUCAAGGAUCUUGUGGACGUUGUAACUACGCUGGAACUUUCGACGCAAAGAAAUGCUUAAGUAAUUGUGGUGAAGCUUCACAAAGAUGGUACCAUGUACCUCGUUCAUGGCUUAAGUCUCAAAACCUUAUAGUUGUGUUCGAAGAGUU